rnacentral:rRNA from 1 species
GAUGAACGCUGGCGGCGUGCCUAAUACAUGCAAGUCGAGCGAAUGGAUUAAGAGCUUGCUCUUAUGAAGUUAGCGGCGGACGGGUGAGUAACACGUGGGUAACCUGCCCAUAAGACUGGGAUAACUCCGGGAAACCGGGGCUAAUACCGGAUAAUAUUUUGAACCGCAUGGUUCAAAAUUGAAAGGCGGCUUCGGCUGUCACUUAUGGAUGGACCCGCGUCGCAUUAGCUAGUUGGUGAGGUAACGGCUCACCAAGGCAACGAUGCGUAGCCGACCGGAGAGGGUGAUCGGCCACACUGGGGCUGAGACACGGCCCAGACUCCUACGGGAGGCAGCAGUAGGGAAUCUUCCGCAAUGGACGAAAGUCUGACGGAGCAACGCCGCGUGAGUGAUGAAGGCUUUCGGGUCGUAAAACUCUGUUGUUAGGGAAGAACAAGUGCUAGUUGAAUAAGCUGGCACCUUGACGGUACCUAACCAGAAAGCCACGGCUAACUACGUGCCAGCAGCCGCCGUAA